UGUAGGAGUGAGCCUGCUCGCGAUAGCGGUGUGUCAGUCGACAUUUUCUUUUCUGACACACCGCCAUCGCGAGCAGGCUCACUCCUACA
rnacentral:antisense_RNA from 1 species